CCUACGGGUGGCAGCAGUAGGGAAUAUUGCUCAAUGGCGGAAACCCUGAAGCAGCAACGCCGCGUGGAGGAUGAAGGUUUUCGGAUUUUAAACUCUUUUUGUUAGAGGAGAAAAUGACGGUAUCUAACGAAUAAUCAACGGCUAACUUCGUGCCAGCAGCCGCGGUAAUACGGAGGGUGCGAGCGUUAUCCGGAUUUACUGGGUGUAAAGGGCGUGUAGGCGGGAAAGCAAGUCAGAUGUGAAAACCAUGGGCUCAACCUGUGGCUUGCAUUUGAAACUGUUUGUCUUGAGUGCUGGAGAGGCAGACGGAAUGCGUGGUGUAGCGGUGAAAUGCGUAGAUAUUAGGCAGAACACCAAUGGCGAAGGCAGUCUGCUAGACAGCAACUGACGCUGAAGCGCGAAAGCGUGGGGAGCAAACAGGAUUAGAUACCCCGGUAGUC
rnacentral:rRNA from 1 species